GCUAUUUUGGCAGAAAAAUGUGAUGAUUUUAGAAGUCAUUUUAUAUAUAAUUUAUUAUAUAGAUAGUA
rnacentral:tRNA from 1 species